GACUUCUAAAAUAUGCUUAGUUUGUUGGUAUUUUGUUUGAUUGUAGAGGUUUGAUGUACCGAUUACUGACUAGACAAAAUUGAAACGACAUACAAUGAAGAUACACAUAAAACUGAGGGUAUUAAUACUACCAUCCGCUUCAAAGGCUGAUGCCGGACUGACUACGGUUCGUCAACAUGGAGGUGUUAAGAAGAUUGAGUCAAUACCACUGUCUGAGCUGAAUCCAUAUGUACUGAGUUCACUCCCCAGGUUGGACACUCUACAAAGAAGGCACACCAUGGUUGAACUUUAGAGCCUGGGAGUCCAUGAUAUUGUUUUAUAUUUUCACAGUUACUCUAAUCCUUUUUUUUAUUUAAUUCCAAAAAUUUGUAGCAUCAAUAUGUUCCAGUUUGAUGUC